UAUUUUAGUCUUGUUAGAGGAACCUGUUUUAUAAUCGAUAAGCCACGUACAUCUUACUUAUUUUAAAUAAUUUGUAUACCGUCAUUAUUAGAUAACUUUCAAAAAAUUAGUUAUUAAAAUUAAAUAAAAUUAAAUAUAUUAGAUCAAGGUGCAGUUAAUAAAUAAGAAAAAAUGGGUUACAAUAAAAUUUAUUUAAAACGAAUUAUAUAAAUGUAAAAAUAUAUGAAGGAGGAUUUAAUUGUAAUUUUUUAUAAAAUAAUAAUAUGAUAAUAGCUCUAAAAUAU
rnacentral:rRNA from 1 species